GCUGGGUGUGGUGGCGCAUGCCUGUAAUCCCAGCUACAUGGGAGGCUGAGGCAGGAGAAUUCCUUGAACCCAGGAUGUGGGGGUUGCAGUGAGCCGAGAUCGUGCCACUGCACUCCAGCCUGGGAGACAGAGUGAGACUCUGUCUCAA
rnacentral:SRP_RNA from 1 species